rfam:Aedes albopictus isolate Foshan contig11471, whole genome shotgun sequence.
GGCUCGGUAGCUUAAUUGGUAAAGCACUUGUCUAGCGUAUAAAAGUUCUGAGUUCAAAUCUCACCUGAGCUG